rnacentral:rRNA from 1 species
UCGAGGGGCAGCAUAAUGGAUAGCAAUAUCUAUGGUGGCGACCGGCGCACGGGUGAGUAACACGUAUCCAACCUGCCGUCUACUCUUGGAUAGCCUUUCGAAAGAAAGAUUAAUAUCCGAUAGCAUAUAUUUCCCGCAUGGGUUUUAUAUUAAAGAAAUUCGGUAUGAGAUGGGGAUGCGUUCCAUUAGUUUGUUGGCGGGGUAACGGCCCACCUAGUCUUCGAUGGAUAGGGGUUCUGAGAGGAAGGUCCCCACAUUGGAACUGAGACACGGUCCAAACUCC